rnacentral:rRNA from 1 species
UGGGGAAUCUUGCACAAUGGGGGCAACCCUGAUGCAGCGACGCCGCGUGAGCGAUGAAGGUUUUCGUAUCGUAAAGCUCUGUCCUAUGGGAAGAUAAUGACGGUACCAUAGGAGGAAGCCCCGGCUAACUACGUGCCAGCAGCCGCGGUAAUACGUAGGGGGCGAGCGUUGUCCGGAAUUACUGGGCGUAAAGGGUUCGCAGGCGGCAUGGCAAGUCCGAUGUAAAAGGCGAAGGCUCAACCUUCGUAAGCAUCGGAAACUGUCAAGCUUGAGUGAAGGAGAGGCAAGUGGAAUUCCUAGUGUAGCGGUGGAAUGCGUAGAUAUUAGGAGGAAUACCGGUGGCGAGGGCGACUUGCUGGACAUCAACUGACGCUGAGGAACGAAAGCGUGGGUAGCAAACAGG